AACGAACGCUGGCGGCAGGCCUAACACAUGCAAGUCGAGCGAAGCCUUCGGGCUUAGCGGCGGACGGGUGAGUAACGCGUGGGAACGUGCCCUUUGGUACGGAAUAGACACGGGAAACUGGGAGUAAUACCGUAUGUGCCCUUCGGGGGAAAGAUUUAUCGCCAAAGGAUCGGCCCGCGUUGGAUUAGGUAGUUGGUGGGGUAAUGGCCUACCAAGCCGACGAUCCAUAGCUGGUUUGAGAGGAUGAUCAGCCACACUGGGACUGAGACACGGCCCAGACUCAUACGGGAGGCAGCAGUGGGGAAUCUUAGACAAUGGGGGAAACCCUGAUCUAGCCAUGCCGCGUGAUCGAUGAAGGCCUUAGGGUUGUAAAGAUCUUUCAGUGGGGAAGAUAAUGACUGUACCCACAGAAGAAGCCCCGGCUAACUCCGUGCCAGCAGCCGCAGUAA
rnacentral:rRNA from 1 species